GAUCAUGGCUCAGGAUGAACGCUAGCUACAGGCUUAACACAUGCAAGUCGAGGGGCAGCAUGAAGUUGCUUGCAAACUUGAUGGCGACCGGCGCACGGGUGAGUAACGCGUAUCCAACCUUCCCUAUACUAGAGGAUAGCCCGGCGAAAGUCGGAUUAAUACUCUAUGUUCUUCGUAGAAGACAUCUGAAAUGAAGCAAAGGUUUACCGGUAUAGGAUGGGGAUGCGUCUGAUUAGGUUGUUGGCGGGGUAACGGCCCACCAAGCCCACGAUCAGUAGGGGUUCUGAGAGGAAGGUCCCCCACAUUGGAACUGAGACACGGUCCAAACUCCUACGGGAGGCAGCAGUGAGGAAUAUUGGUCAAUGGACGAGAGUCUGAACCAGCCAAGUAGCGUGCAGGAUGACGGCCCUAUGGGUUGUAAACUGCUUUUAUACAGGGAUAAAGUUCACUACGUGUAGUGUUUUGUAGGUACUGUAUGAAUAAGGACCGGCUAAUUCCGUGCCAGCAGCGGC
rnacentral:rRNA from 1 species